UCCUGUUCGCCAGUCGUCAUUGU
rnacentral:miRNA from 1 species